GACGAACGCUGGCGGCGUGCUUAACACAUGCAAGUCGAACGAUGAACCCGGAGCUUGCUCUGGGGGUUUAGUGGCGAACGGGUGAGUAACACGGGAGUAACCUGCCCUGGACUCUGGGAUAAGCGGUGGAAACGACGUCUAAUACCGGAUAGGACCUUGGAUCGCAUGAUCUGGGGGGGAAAGGUUUUUCGGUCUGGGAUGGACUCGCGGCCUAUCAGCUUGUUGGUGAGGUAAUGGCUCACCAAGGGGUCGACGGGUAGCCGGCCUGAGAGGGUGACCGGACACGGUGGGACUGCGACACGGCCGAGACUCCUACGGGAGGCAGCAGUGGGGAAUAUGGCAGAAUGGGCGAAAGCCUGAUGCAGCAACGCGGCGUGCGGGAUGACGGCCUUCGGGUUGUAAACCGCUUUGUGUAGGGAAGAAGGGCUUCGGCUUGACGGUACCUGCAGAAAAAGGACCGGCUAACUACGUG
rnacentral:rRNA from 1 species